UACGUAGGGGCCUAGCGUUGUCCGGAAUUAUUGGGCGUAAAGAGCUCGUAGGCGGUUCGGCAAGUCGGAUGUGAAAUCUCCACGCUUAACGUGGAGGGGCCAUUCGAAACUGCUGUGACUCGAGUCCGGUAGGGGAGUGUGGAAUUCCCGGUGUAGCGGUGAAAUUCGUAGAUAUUGGGAAGAACACCGGUGGCGAAGGCGGCGACCUGGUCCUUGACUGACGCUGAGGCGCGAAAGCGUGGGGAGCAAACAGG
rnacentral:rRNA from 1 species